GCCUAAUUAGCUUAGUUGGUAGUGCGUCUGCCUUGUAAGCGCUAGGCCGCGGGUUCGAUUUCCGCCUGGGGCG
rfam:Asian citrus Psyllid, Diaphorina citri - Florida Strain, whole genome shotgun sequence.